GCAGUCGAGCGAACAUUUAAUUCGAAGUUUUCGGAUGGAGAGUUAUCUGACUGAGCGGCGGACGGGUGAGUAACGCGUGGGGAACCUGCCUCAUACAGGGGAAUAACAGUUAGAAAUGACUGCUAAUGCCGCAUAAGCGCACAGUGCCGCAUGGUACAGUGUGAAAAACUCCGGUGGUAUGAGAUGGCCCCGCGUCUGAUUAGGCAGUUGGCGGGGUAACGGCCCACCAAACCGACGAUCAGUAGCCGACCUGAGAGGGUGACCGGCCACAUUGGGACUGAGACACGGCCCAAACUCCUACGGGAGGCAGCAGUGGGGGAUAUUGCACAAUGGGGGAAACCCUGAUGCAGCGACGCCGCGUGGGUGAGGAAGUAUUUCGGUAUGUAAAGCCCUAUCAGCAGGGAAGAAGAUGACAGUACCUGACUAAGAAGCCCCGGCUAACUACGUGCCAGCAGCCGCGGUAAUACGUAGGGGGCAAGCGUUAUCCGGAUUUACUGGGUGUAAAGGGAGCGCAGGUGGCAAGGCAAGCCAGAAGUGAAAACCCGGGGCUUAACCCCGCGGAUUGCUUUUGGAACUGUCUGGCUGGAGUGCAGGAGGGGCAGGCGGAAUUCCUGGUGUAGCGGUGAAAUGCGUAGAUAUCAGGAGGAACACCGGUGGCGAAGGCGGCCUGCUGGACUGUAACUGACACUGAGGCUCGAAAGC
rnacentral:rRNA from 1 species